rnacentral:misc_RNA from 1 species
GAUGAAGAACGUAGCGAAAUGCGAUACUUGGUGUGAAUUGCAGAAUCCCGUGAACCAUCGAGUCUUUGAACGCAAGUUGCGCCCGAAGCCACUAGGCCGAGGGCACGCCUGCCUGGGCGUCACACGUCGUUGCCCCCCCCCCCAUCUACUCCUUCGGGAUUGCGGGGGGCGGAUGAUGGCCUCCCGUGCGCCUAGCCGCGCGGUUGGCAUAAAUACCAAGUCCUCGGCGACGCACGCCACGACAAUCGGUGGUUGCGAAACCUCGGUUGCCCGUCGUGUGCGUUCGUCGCGCAUCGAGGGCUCGAAAAAAUGCUCGGCUCCGGCUCGGCUUUCAACGCGACCCCAGGUCAGGCGGGGUUACCCGCUGAAUUUAAGCAUAUCAUAAGCGGAGGA